GACGAACGCUGGCGGCAUGGAUUAGGCAUGCAAGUCGAACGAAAAGCAGGAGCUUGCUCCUGUGGACGAGUGGCGAAAGGGUGAGUAGCGCGUGAGUAACCUGCCCUCAAGUUGGGGAUAACACUUGGAAACGAGUGCUAAUACCGAAUGUGAAUAUUUUUCCGCAUGGUUUUAUAUUUAAAAAUUUAUUGCUUGAGGAUGGGCUCGCGUUCCAUUAGCUAGUUGGUGUGGUAACGGCAUACCAAGGCGACGAUGGAUAGGUGGAUUGAGAGAUCGAUCACCCACACUGGGACUGAGACACUGCCCAGACUCCUACGGGAGGCUGCAGUCGAGAAUCUUCCGCAAUGCGCGAAAGCGUGACGGAGCAAUGCCGCGUGGUGGAUGAAGGCCUUCGGGUUGUAAACACCUGUCACAUGGGACGAAUUUUGACGGUACCAUGAGAGGAAGCCACGGCUAACUACG
rnacentral:rRNA from 1 species